rnacentral:lncRNA from 1 species
GUUACGAGGUUCGUGGCCGCGGUUUCCCCAGGCAGCUGGCGCUGGAGGCUUCGGCGUCACGUGCUGGUCUGGAUUUUUCUCGAUGCACUGGGGAAAGCGGUGGACUCUUAUCGUGGGAGGGCUCUUGAUCUGUGAUUUAUAGAUAGGCACAGCUACUCCCGUUCGGGAACCCAACGGCAGACAGGUCCUAGUGCCCAUCAGAUACCCGCGGCCGGGACUCGGAGCUGUGGGGUGUGGGGAGGCGGAGGCACCAACUAAGAGCGACCUAGCAUCGCAAAGCCGCCCUCGGGGCGCUCAUGGCGGGACGCCUCCUGGGAAAGGCUUUAGCCGCGGUGUCUCUCUCUCUGGCCUUGGCCUCUGUGACUAUCAGGUCCUCGCGCUGCCGCGGCAUCCAGGCGUUCAGAAACUCGUUUUCAUCUUCUUGGUUUCAUCUUAAUACCAACGUCAUGUCUGGUUCUAAUGGUUCCAAAGAAAAUUCUCACAAUAAGGCUCGGACGUCUCCUUACCCAGGUUCAAAAGUUGAACGAAGCCAGGUUCCUAAUGAGAAAGUGGGCUGGCUUGUUGAGUGGCAAGACUAUAAGCCUGUGGAAUACACUGCAGUCUCUGUCUUGGCUGGACCCAGGUGGGCAGAUCCUCAGAUCAGUGAAAGUAAUUUUUCUCCCAAGUUUAACGAAAAGGAUGGGCAUGUUGAGAGAAAGAGCAAGAAUGGCCUGUAUGAGAUUGAAAAUGGAAGACCGAGAAAUCCUGCAGGACGGACUGGACUGGUGGGCCGGGGGCUUUUGGGGCGAUGGGGCCCAAAUCACGCUGCAGAUCCCAUUAUAACCAGAUGGAAAAGGGAUAGCAGUGGAAAUAAAAUCAUGCAUCCUGUUUCUGGGAAGCAUAUCUUACAAUUUGUUGCAAUAAAAAGGAAAGACUGUGGAGAAUGGGCAAUCCCAGGGGGGAUGGUGGAUCCAGGAGAGAAGAUUAGUGCCACACUGAAAAGAGAAUUUGGUGAGGAAGCUCUCAACUCCUUACAGAAAAC